rnacentral:siRNA from 1 species
ACACUCGACCAUUCACUCUACCA